GACGAACGCUGGCGGCGUGCCUAAUACAUGCCAGUAGAACGCUGAAGAGAGGAGCUUGCUCUUCUUGGAUGAGUUGCGAACGGGUGAGUAACGCGUAGGUAACCUGCCUUGUAGCGGGGGAUAACUAUUGGAAACGAUAGCUAAUACCGCAUAACAAUGGAUGACACAUGUCAUUUAUUUGAAAGGGGCAAUUGUUCCACUACAAGAUGGACCUGCGUUGUAUUAGCUAGUAGGUGAGGUAAUGGCUCACCUAGGCGACGAUACAUAGCCGACCUGAGAGGGUGAUCGGCCACACUGGGACUGAGACACGGCCCAGACUCCUACGGGAGGCAGCAGUAGGGAAUCUUCGGCAAUGGGGGCAACCCUGACCGAGCAACGCCGCGUGAGUGAAGAAGGGUUUCGGAUCGUAAAGCUCUGUUGUAAGUCAAGAACGGGUGUGAGAGUGGAAAGUUCACACUGUGACGGUAGCUUACCAGAAAGGGACGGCUAACUACGUG
rnacentral:rRNA from 1 species